rnacentral:rRNA from 1 species
UUGACCUCGGAUCAGGUAGGAAUACCCGCUGAACUUAAGCAUAUCAAAAGGCGGAGGA